CAAAAUUAAAAUAAAGAAUGACCAAAUUUCUUAGUAAAGCAUGAAAUCCAAAAUGUUGCUGGUCCCAUGUAGAUUGGUCCAAAGAAUUCAAUUCCCGCAAGUCCCGCGCUAAAGAAUCUCCAAUUGCCAAAUUUCUCACCAAAAUUUAGGCUCCCUUAUUCAACAAAUUGAAUUUAACUUUAAAGAAUGGGUCCCACAGUGUGAUUGCAAAUUCCAAUAACUGCCAAUACACACUUCUAAUUACUCAACACAACCAAUUUUUUUAGUUAAAAGCACCUACAAUCACGCUUUCAGCACACGCUUCAGCUUUCACCAAUUUAGCUUAUACAUUUGCUUUCACUGAUUCUACUUUAAUUUCUUCAAUUAAUUGCGCACCUUGCUAGUACUUAAUUCACGCUGCACCUUCGACACACCAUUUCUCAUCAAAUUCUUCAAAUUCACGGACCCCACAAUUCACUGCAUCAGCUUCAAUCAAUUUGCAAUUCACAAAUUGAAUUCAAAUGCAGACAUACUCCUUUUUUAAAUUAAAAACUGCACCAAAAUGAUCAACAAUUUCAACCAAUUUGCAAUUCAAGAUGAUCACUGCACCAACAAAAACUAGAAAAUUGCAACUGCAGAAAAUUUGUCACCGUUUGAAUUCAAUCUCACAAUUUAUUUUUUAAAUACCAAUUCUAAUCACCAAUUCUCGGUCCAUCACUUCACGAAUAGCUCCUUCAAUACUUUUAUCAAACAGUUGACACACACACCUUAAUGCAUUAAACACUUGCACUCAACACCAAAUUCAUGCAAUCCAAAUCAUUUCGUGGCACAACUCAGAGCUUCAAUCAUGGUGGAUUGCACUCGUGAAGCCAAAUUUUGGAACAGAUCCACCUUAAUUGUUCUUCCGUUUCCAAACGAUUCUCAAUCAAUCAACCAAUUUCAUUCGCCAAUAAUUUCCAGAACCGUAAAUUCAGAAUUUCAAGGAGAACCGCACAACUAUUUUACUGAUAUUCAGCUGCACCGUUAAAUUGAUUAAGUGCAAAACUUCAAUUGCUAUGCUCACUGAAUAUAUCAAGCGUGUAAACUGUUUGUUAGAAAGCUUCAAAGAAAUUUUAAUUUGUAGAAAAUACAAGAAUUGAUUCUAAUCAGAAUUUUUUUUGAAACAUCUUUAUCAAAUGAAUUAAACUUUCAAACUCAGUGUAAUGCCGAAUUCAUCUGAUUUUUCAUAUGUAUGAAUUGUACCUUUUAAUCACGAAUAAACAAUUCCAGCAAAUGCUCAAUCGGUACAUCAGCAGAAAUUCUUCAGCGCCUUUCAAAUCGCGAUUCACUCAUUCGUCACUGCUUUGCUUCAUCAAAUUAAACCCGAUCAAGAUCAAUGUUUUGCUUCGAAAUCAACAUCUACUUCAGUCAUCUUCAACAUUUCGCCAGAAUGUGAAACUUAAUCCGCGAACGAUUAUAAUUCCUUUGAGAAUGCUCUUCGUUUGAGAUGACGAAGUUAAUCGGUCAGUUCUCCGUGCACUGAUUCUGUUUGUCGGAAAACCACUAAAACCUAUGUUCGCGAUUCUUCCAACACCUCAAUGUUUCUCCGUUUUGCUUCUUCACAGUUGCUCCAGGAAAACGAAGAACAAUGAACGCAAAAGGCAGAACCAAAAUUUUCGGAAUCGGAAUUGAAAGCAGAAGAAGAACUUACAUGAACCAAUUCCGACUAAGCACGAAAGGAACCGAAACUUUAGAUUCUGUUUUCUGACUUCCUAUUCCAGAUUCAAAUUCUCCUCCGGCGCCGUUCGCAGUUGAAGACGAAAUCAUACUCCCGAAGUCUUGUAGUGCGAAAACUGUGGAAGCGUCGCGCACCAAUUUCACUCACACUGGACUUGUUCCGAUUCCAAUUUCAUGAACACUCAGAAGAUGAAGAACAGCAACACAAAUCGCAGAGAAAAUUUGAGGAAAAUCUGAAAAUCUAAACCAAAUCUGCUAUUGGCAGCGCAGAUCCAACAAUUUUCAUAAACAGUUCACAUUACUGCUCACACCACUUGAUUUUCUUUUUGAACCACGAAAAAUUUUCGGACAAAUUUCGAGAACUUUCGAAAAUGAUUUUUGAAGAGAAUGAUAAUGGAAAGCUAACUCAAAGAAAAUUGUUGAUGAUCUAGUAGCAAUUUAUG
rnacentral:lncRNA from 1 species